rnacentral:lncRNA from 1 species
GAAUAAGAAUGUACAUGAAUGGAAUUCAAAUGAAAUAUUCAACACACAUUGAUCAAACAUGAAUAUAAUCAAAGUCAAUCAAUGGUAAACAGAAGCAAGAUGAAGCUUAGAAGUCAAGAAACAAAUAAAAUAUUUUUGAUAUUUUUGAGAAUUAAAAUAAUACUUGAAUUAAAAUAAACAAACAAAGGUCAAACUUCAAAUCCAUUUCAAAUCAACUUGAAAAAGUCCAAAUGGAUCAUCCUAAGUUCAACAAGGUCAAACAAAGUUUGAC